ACAUGCUACCAUCAAUCAGGAAGCUCUCCCAGGACUUCAAGAUAAGAUCAAAUGGAAGGAGUUUUUGUGCAGAGCUGUUGUGCUAAGUGAGGAACAAUCUCAAAUGCUUGUGAGGAAAGAGAGAAGAAACAGCUGCUUACAUGCCUUCUGCAGUGAGAAACUGGGAGCUGGCAUCACCUUCAGAUCUACCAGGGCAGGUCCACCUGCACACCUGGGGCUCAAAGUCAGGUCAAGCUCAACACCCACAAGAGAAAGCAGCUGCCAAACCACUGUGACCUGUCAAAGCACCAGUCCAAAACCCAGUCCUCACAGCUCCCAAGAUCAAAUCUCACUUGGGAAGGGAUGUGUCAAAAUCCAGCACUUCCCCGUUUGCAGGAGCGCCUGAACACUGACCCACUGCCUACAGUCUUUACUAACAGCACGUGGCCUGCCAUUUUGACAUAAAAGUAAAGUUUCAAUGUGUAUUUUUCUGCC